rnacentral:rRNA from 1 species
UUAAGGAAAUAAGGGCACACAGUGAAUGCCUUGGCACCAAGAGCCGAUGAAGGACGCAACUAACGGCGAAACGCCACGGGGAGCGGUAAGUACGCGACGAUCCGUGGGACUCCGAAUGGGGGAACCCAUCACGUGGAAGACGUGAUAUCCAGCAAUGGAAGGAAAACGCGGGGAACUGAAAUAUCUAAGUACCCGCAGGAAAAGAAAGUAACAACGAUUCCGCAAGUAGCGACGAGCGAACGCGGAGGAGCCAGACACCAGAACAGUAAGAAAACCACAUGCUAGGCGAGCGGCGUGGGAAAGCCGGCCAGAGAGGGUGAGAGCCCCGUAGCCGAAAGCGUGGGGACUGGGGUGUCGAGAAGUACGGCGAGACACGAGGAAUCUUGUCGGAAGAUGCGAGGACCAUCUCGUAAGGCUAAAUACUCCUUGGUGACCGAUAGUGAACCAGUACCGUGAGGGAAAGGUGAAAAGAACCCCGGGAGGGGAGUGAAAGAGAACCUGAAACUGUGUGCUUACAGUUAGUCAGAGCCCGUUAAUGGGUGAUGGCAUGCCUUUUGUAGAAUGAACCGGCGAGUUACGGCGUCUGGCAAGGUUAAGCCUGAAGGGGUGGAGCCGAAGCGAAAGCGAGUCUGAAUAGGGCGAAGAAGUCAGGCGCUGUAGACCCGAAACUGGGUGAGCUAGCCAUGAGCAGGCUGAAGUUUGGGUAAGACCAAAUGGAGGGCCGAACCAGGACACGUUAAAAAGUGUUUGGAUGACUUGUGGCUAGGGGUGAAAUUCCAAUCGAACUCAGAGAUAGCUGGUUCUCCCCGAAAUAGCUUUAGGGCUAGCGUUGGCGUAAGAGUUUAUCGAAGGUAGAGCACUGAAUGUGUGAUGGCCCCACCUCGGGGUACUGAGCCCAAUCAAACUACGAAUGUCGGUAAACGCGGCCAGCAGUCAGACUGUGGGUGAUAAGGUUCAUGGUCAAAAGGGAAAGAGCCCAGACCGCCAGAUAAGGUCCCAAAGUCGAUGCUAAGUGGAAAAGGAAGUGGGGAUGCACAAACAACUAGGAGGUUGGCUUAGAAGCAGCCAUCCUUUAAAGAGUGCGUAAAAGCUCACUAGUCGAGUGAUCCUGCGCCGAAAAUGUACCGGGGCUAAGCAUCGCACCGAAUCUGCGGAUUUAUGGUGAACCAUAAGUGGUAGGGGAGCGUUCCAACAGCGGUGAAGGCAGAUCGGAAGGACUGCUGGAGUGGUUGGAAGUGAGAAUGCCGGUGUAAGUAACGAAAAGACAGGUGAGAAUCCUGUCCGUCGAAAGCCCAAGGUUUCCAGGGGAAGGUUCGUCCGCCCUGGGUAAGUCGGGGCCUAAGGUGAGGCUCAAGAGCGUAGCCGAUGGACAGCAGGUAGAGAUUCCUGCACUGGUCAUAUGACCGAUGGAGUGACAGAGGAGGCUAGCGCCCGCCCCUUCAGUGGAUUGGGGACGAGGAACUGAGGCUGAUGCACAGGCAAAUCCGUGCAUCGUAAGGCUGGGGUUCGGUAGGUAAAGGGCGACAACGUCAGGCUCUCAAGAAAAGCUUCUAGGGUUAAUCAUAGGACCACCCGUACCGCAAACCGACACAGGUGGGUGGGUAGAGUAUACUAAGACGCGCGAGAAAACCCUUGUUAAGGAACUCGGCAAAAUGACUCCGUAACUUCGGGAUAAGGAGGACUUUUAAUGAAAAAAGAAAGUCGCAGAGAAUAGGCCCAAGCGACUGUUUAUCAAAAACACAGGUCCCUGCAAAACCGCAAGGUGAAGUAUAGGGGCUGACGCCUGCCCGGUGCUGGAAGAUUAAGAGGAGAUGUCAGGAAACGAAGCAUUGAAUUGAAGUCCCAGUAAACGGCGGCCGUAACUAUAACGGUCCUAAGGUAGCGAAAUUCCUUGUCGGGUAAGUUCCGACCCGCACGAAAGGCGUAACGAUUUGGGCACUGUCUCAACAAGGGACUCGGUGAAAUCAAGCUGCCGGUGAAAACGCCGGCUACCCGCGACAGGACGAUAAGACCCCAUGGAGCUUUACUGUAGCUUGAUAUUGACAUCGGGUGUAAGAUGUACAGGAUAGGUGGGAGACUGAGAAUCUAGGACGCUAGUCUUGGAGGAGUCAACCUUGGGAUACCACCCUUCGUGCAUCUGAUGUCUAACCCGCGGAAGUGGAUUCCGGGGGACAGUGUCUGGUGGGCAGUUUGACUGGGGCGGUCGCCUCCCAAAGAGUAA